GAUGAACGCCGGCGGCGUGCUUAACACAUGCAAGUCGAACGGUGAAGCAGGAGCUUGCUCCUGUGGAUCAGUGGCGAACGGGUGAGUAACACGUGAGCAACCUGCCCCUGACUCUGGGAUAAGCGCUGGAAACGGCGUCUAAUACGGGAUAUGUGACGUGACCGCAUGGUCUGCAUCUGGAAAGAAUUUCGGUUGGGGAUGGGCUCGCGGCCUAUCAGCUUGUUGGUGAGGUAAUGGCUCACCAAGGCGUCGACGGGUAGCCGGCCUGAGAGGGUGACCGGCCACAGUCGGACUGAGACACGGCCCAAACUCCUACGGGAGGCAGCAGUGGGGAAUAUUGCACGCUGGGCGUAGGCCUGAUGCGGCAACGCGGCGUGGGGGACGACGGACUUCGGGUUGUAAAACUCUUUUAGCAGGGAAGAAGCGAAAGUGGCGGUACCUGCAGAAAAAGCACCGGCUAACUACGUGCCAGCCGCCGCCGUAA
rnacentral:rRNA from 1 species